AUUGAACGCUGGCGGCAGGCCUAACACAUGCAAGUCGGACGGAUCCUUCGGGAUUAGUGGCGGACGGGUGAGUAACACGUGGGAACGUGCCCUUUGGUUCGGAACAACUCAGGGAAACUUGAGCUAAUACCGGAUGUGCCCUUCGGGGGAAAGAUUUAUCGCCAUUGGAGCGGCCCGCGUCUGAUUAGCUAGUUGGUGAGGUAAAGGCUCACCAAGGCGACGAUCAGUAGCUGGUCUGAGAGGAUGUUCAGCCACAUUGGGACUGAGACACGGCCCAAACUCCUACGGGAGGCAGCAGUGGGGAAUCUUGCGCAAUGGGCGAAAGCCUGACGCAGCCAUGCCGCGUGAAUGAUGAAGGUCUUAGGAUUGUAAAAUUCUUUCACCGGGGACGAUAAUGACGGUACCCGGAGAAGAAGCCCCGGCUAACUUCGUGCCAGCAGCCGCAGUAAAAC
rnacentral:rRNA from 1 species